rnacentral:misc_RNA from 1 species
UAUCACAUCUAGAUUAACAUCCAAGAAACAUCCAGUUCAUAUAGACUGACUCUUGUUCUGCAAAUCAAGAGUGAUUCAUGUUCUACCUACGGAAAUAACAAAACAAUCUACACACCUAGAAGGGCUUGGAAUUUGCUCGACUUCAACUGCUGCAUCUAAUAGCUCACAAAAAAUACCAACUCUAUUAGAUCUUUUAUAUAAUACAGCCAGGCAGAACUCUCCUACAUCCUAACACCAGAAGUAUACUCACAUAAAUAAAAGAGCCUUUUCACAACAUUUAGCCAAACUGCACCAGAAGCCAUACUUUUACCGUUCAACUAAUCCACGUCAAAAAUAGGAAAAGAUGUAAACCUAGCAUAUCAAAGAAAUUCUCCACAUUCAAAUCAACUUUCAGAAACUGAAAAAGAAAAA